UACGUAGGGUGCAAGCGUUAAUCGGAAUUACUGGGCGUAAAGCGUGCGCAGGCGGUGAUGUAAGACAGGUGUGAAAUCCCCGGGCUUAACCUGGGAACUGCAUUUGUGACUGCAUCGCUGGAGUGCGGCAGAGGGGGAUGGAAUUCCGCGUGUAGCAGUGAAAUGCGUAGAUAUGCGGAGGAACACCGAUGGCGAAGGCAAUCCCCUGGGCCUGCACUGACGCUCAUGCACGAAAGCGUGGGGAGCAAACAGGAUUAGAUACCCCUAGUAGUCC
rnacentral:rRNA from 1 species